AUUGAACGCUGGCGGCAGGCCUAACACAUGCAAGUCGAACGGUAACAGAAAGCAGCUUGCUGCUUUGCUGACGAGUGGCGGACGGGUGAGUAAUGUCUGGGAAACUGCCUGAUGGAGGGGGAUAACUACUGGAAACGGUAGCUAAUACCGCAUAACGUCGCAAGACCAAAGAGGGGGACCUUCGGGCCUCUUGCCAUCGGAUGUGCCCAGAUGGGAUUAGCUAGUAGGUGGGGUAACGGCUCACCUAGGCGACGAUCCCUAGCUGGUCUGAGAGGAUGACCAGCCACACUGGAACUGAGACACGGUCCAGACUCCUACGGGAGGCAGCAGUGGGGAAUAUUGCACAAUGGGCGCAAGCCUGAUGCAGCCAUGCCGCGUGUAUGAAGAAGGCCUUCGGGUUGUAAAGUACUUUCAGCGGGGAGGAAGGGAGUAAAGUUAAUACCUGUGCUCAUUGACGUUACCCGCAGAAGAAGCACCGGCGAACUCCGU
rnacentral:rRNA from 1 species